CUACGGGAUGCAGCAGUGAGGAAUAUUGCACAAUGGGGGGAACCCUGAUGCAGCAACGCCGCGUGGAGGAUGACGCAUUUCGGUGUGUAAACUCCUUUUAUAUGUCAAGAAAAUGACGGUAGCAUAUGAAUAAGCACCGGCUAACUCCGUGCCAGCAGCCGCGGUAAUACGGAGGGUGCAAGCGUUACUCGGAAUCACUGGGCGUAAAGGACGCGUAGGCGGGUUGGAAAGUCAGGUGUGAAAUCCUACAGCUUAACUGUAGAACUGCACUUGAAACUUCUAAUCUAGAGUAUGGGAGGGGAGAUGGAAUUAGUGGUGUAGGGGUAAAAUCCGUAGAUAUCACUAGGAAUAUCUAAAGCGAAGGCGAUCUCCUGGAACAUUACUGACGCUAAGGCGUGAAAGCGUGGGGAGCAAACAGGAUUAGAUACCCGCGUAGUC
rnacentral:rRNA from 1 species